rnacentral:lncRNA from 1 species
AAUCACAUAACGCCUUACCAAUAUAAUGAGAGAAACAGUUUCAAAUUUAUUCAUCAACGUUGCUGUGCACCCUUGAGUGAGAGCAACAGUUUCAAAUUCUUCCAAUCUACGCUUUUUUGAUAAUAUAUCUUUCAUAAAUUUCACAUAGAUAGGCAUCUACUCCAAAGCUUCUACUAGUAGUAUGUUGAUACAGAGUUGCUUCAAUACAUCCAAAGAUCUUUUGAACUGAACAUCCUACUGAACAUCCAAAAAGGUAGAGACGGUCGUCCUUCUGGUUGCUAAUAUUAUUUUGCUGUGGCAUUUUUG